GACGGGGGGGGCAAGCGUUAUCCGGAAUCACUGGGCGUAAAGCGUGUGUAGGUGGUGAUCCAAGUCACUGGUGCAAAACUCUGGCUCAACCGGAGGAAAGCCAGUGAAACUGCGUGACUAGAGCGGGGGAGAGGUAGAAGGAAUUGCCGGAGUAGCGGUGAAAUGCGUAGAGACAGGGAAGAACACCGGAGGCGACAGCGGUCGGCUGGAACCCAACUGACACUGAGAGACGACAGCGAGGGGAGCAAAUGGG
rnacentral:rRNA from 1 species